rnacentral:rRNA from 1 species
GUAACGGCGAGUGAAGCGGUAACAGCUCAAAUUUGAAAUCUGGCUCCCUGCGGAGUCCGAGUUGUAAUUUGUAGAAGAUGCUUUGGGUGCACGAUCCGGCCUAAGUGCCUUGGAACAGGACGUCAUAGAGGGUGAGAAUCCCGUAUGCGGCCGGUAUCGACGCCCAUGUAAAGCUCUUUCGACGAGUCGAGUUGUUUGGGAAUGCAGCUCAAAAUGGGUGGUAAAUUUCAUCUAAAGCUAAAUAUGGGCCAGAGACCGAUAGCGCACAAGUAGAGUGAUCGAAAGAUGAAAAGCACUUUGGAAAGAGAGUUAAACAGUACGUGAAAUUGUUGAAAGGGAAGCGCUUGCAACCAGACUUGGGCGUCGCUGAUCAUCCAAAGUUCUCUUUGGUGCACUCGACGACGCACAGGCCAGCAUCGGUUGGGGUGGUGGGAGAAAGACUGCAGGAACGUAGCUCUUUUCGGAGAGUGUUAUAGCCUGCGGUGCAAUACCGCCUACCUCGACCGAGGACCGCGCUUCGGCUAGGAUGCUGGCGUAAUGGUUGUAAGCGACCCGUCUUGAAACACGGACCAAGGGGUCUAACAUCUAUGCGAGUGUUUGGGUGCGAAACCCAUGCGCGAAAUGAAAGUGAACGUAGGUGAGAACCCUUUGAGGGGGCAUCAUCGACCGAUCCUGAUGUCUUCGGAUGGAUUUGAGUAAGAGCAUAGCUGUUGGGA